GUCAGGCUGGUCUUGAACUGCUGAACUUGUGAUCUGCCUGCCUUUGCCUCCCAAAGUGCUGGGAUUACAGGCAUGAGCCACCACGCCUGGCCAACUGUUUCUUUUCUCUACUACCCUAGUGAGGCACGCUGAGUGAAGCACAUCGUCCACACUGAUCCAAGAAUUGUUUACAGACUUCUUCCAUAAUGAACAGGAGUGUACACAUAUGAUACACUAUUUGUCCCACGGAUAUGUGAGGCCUUGAUGUUCUGUGUUCAGUUACAUUCAUCCGAAUAAAAACUGUAAUAAACAUUU
rnacentral:lncRNA from 1 species